rnacentral:rRNA from 1 species
AGGAUGAACGCUGGCGGCGUGCCUAACACAUGCAAGUCGAACGUCCUGUCUCGCAAGAGGCAGGGAGUGGCGGACGGGUGAGUACCACGUGGGUUAUCUACCGUGAGGUGAGGAAUACCGGCGAGAAAUCGCCGACAAGACCGCAUAGCCUCGGUGCAAGCCGAGGAAAGCUUUCUCGAGAGAGGGAGCGCCACACGAGGAGCCUGCGCCCGAUUAGCUAGCUGGUGGAGUAACGGUUCACCAGGGCGACGAUCGGUAGCUGGUCUGAGAGGACGAUCAGCCACACUGGGAUUGAGAACGGCCCAGACUCCUACGGGGGGCAGCAGUGAGGAAUUUUCGUCAAUGGGGGCAACCCUGAACGAGCAACGCCGCGUGCAGGAAGAAGGUUUUCGGAUCGUAAACUGCUUUUCGUCGGGGAAGAGAACGGACGGUACCGAGGAAUCAGCCCGGCUACUACGCGCCAGCAGCCGCGGUAA